rnacentral:lncRNA from 1 species
UUUCCACCAAAACACCCUCCACAUGUAAAGCCACCUUUCCACCCCAAACCACCGCAUCACAAGCCACCCCAUGUCAAACCACCGCACAAGCCCCCGUAUGUUCCUAAACCACCUUAUUCCCCAAGCCCUAAACCGCCUUACGUGCCAAAACCACCUCAUACUCCAGUCCCUAGGCCACCAUAUUUCCCCAAACCACCUUACACACCAAGGCCUAAGCCACCAUAUGCGCCAAAACCACCUUAUACGCCAACCCCUAAGCCACCAUAUUUCCCCAAACCACCUUACACACCAAGGCCGAAGCCACCAUAUGUGCCAAAACCACCUUAUACGCCAGCCCCUAAGCCACCAUAUUUUCCCAAACCACCUUACACACCAAGGCCUAAGCCACCAUAUGCACCAAAACCACCUUAUACGCCAACACCUAAGCCACCAUAUUUCCCCAAACCACCUUACACACCAAGGCCUAAGCCACCGUACGUGCCAAAACCACCGUACACACCAAGGCCUAAGCCACCGUACGUGCCAAAACCACCAUACACACCAACCCCUAAGCCACCGUACGUGCCAAAACCACCUUACACCCCAACCCCUAAGCCACCGUACGUGCCAAAACCACCGUAUACCCCAACUCCUAAGCCACCGUACGUCCCAUCGCCACCUUAUACCCCUCGCCCUAAACCACCGUAUGUACCAUCACCACCUUAUACCCCUAGCCCUAAACCACCGUAUGUGCCAUCACCACCAUAUACCCCAAGCCCUACCCCACCAUAUGUACCAUCACCACCGUAUACCCCAAGCCCACCAUAUGUACCAUCACCACCGUAUACCCCAAGCCCUAGCCCACCACCACCACCAAGUGGAACACCGUGUCCUCCGCCGCCGCCACCAAAGGUGAGACCGUACCCUCCACCACCAUCACAAACUUGUCCCAUUGAUACUCUCAAGCUUGGUGCAUGCGUCGACGUGUUGGGCGGUCUAAUACACAUCGGUAUAGGCAGCAGUGCAAAGGACGCUUGCUGCCCCGUGCUGCAGGGGCUACUGGACUUGGAUG